GUGAUCGGCCAGAUCAAUCUCUUCAACGUGAGAGUUUGAUCCUGGCUCAGAGCGAACGCUGGCGGCAGGCUUAACACAUGCAAGUCGAGCGGGCCCUUCGGGGUCAGCG
rnacentral:rRNA from 1 species